rnacentral:tRNA from 1 species
GCAGAGAUGGCUGAGCGGUUUAAGGCGCACGAUUGGAAAUCGUGUGACGGCUAAUACCCGUCCGGAGGUUCAAAUCCUCUUCUCUGCGCCA